ACCUUGAAAUCAAUUCUUACUUGACUUACACAUGCAAGUCUCCGCACACCCGUGAAAACGCCCUUUCUACCCCCUCCGGAACAAGGAGCUGAUAUCAGGUAUAUUACCCAAAACAUCUAGCCACGCCACACCCAUAAGGGCCCUCAGCAGUGAUUAACAUUAAAAAUAAACGUCAGUUUGACUUAGCCAAACGAAAAUAGAGCCGGCCAAUCUGGUGCCAGCCGCCGCGGUUACACCACGUGGCUCAAAUUGAUCUCAACACGGCGUAAAGCGUGAUUAAAGAAACACACCUUCCGGGGUCAAACUAGAACUAAGCUGUAGUACGCCUGUUUUUAAGAAGCCCUACUUCGAAAGAUACCCCAAUUUAUCAACUUGAAUUCACAACAACUAGAACACAAACUGGGAUUAGAUACCCCACUAUGUCUAGUCAUAAACUUUAACUUACACCUCAAUCGCCAGGGAACUACGAGCAAAGCUUAAAACCCAAAGGACUUGACGGUGCCCCAUAUCCCCCUAGAGGAGCCUGUCCUAUAACCGAUACCCCCCGUUCAACCUCACCAUUUUUAGUUUAUCAGCCUGUAUACUUCCGUCGCCAGCUUACCGCGUGAGCGAAUUCAGUAAGCUUAAUGUAACCCACCAAAACGUCA
rnacentral:rRNA from 1 species